rnacentral:rRNA from 1 species
UCAUCGUAGGGUUAGUCGGGUCCUAAGCUGAGUCCGAAAGGGGUAAGCGAUGGCAAAUCGGUUAAUAUUCCGAUACCUAUCAUAGUGUGCGAUGUGGGGACGCUUAGAGCUAAACGAGCUCACUGAUGGAAUAGUGGGUCGAAGGGUGUAGGUUGAGUGGUAGGCAAAUCCGCCAUUCUUUAUCCGAGACCUGACAGGCACCCGAUACUCUUCGGAGUGGAAGGUGAAUCGUUGAUGCUGUCGAGCCAAGAAAAGCCACUAAGUUUAGCUAUGAUAGCCCGUACCGUAAACCGACACAGGUGGGUGAGAUGAGUAUUCUAAGGCGCGUGGAAGAACUCUGGUUAAGGAACUCUGCAAACUAGCACCGUAAGUUCGCGAGAAGGUGUGCCUCCUCGGGUACUAGGUUUUACACUGAAAGCCUGAGAGGUUGCAACAAAGAGUCCCUCCCGACUGUUUAC